rnacentral:rRNA from 1 species
CCUACGGGAGGCAGCAGUGAGGAAUAUUGGUCAAUGGGCGCGAGCCUGAACCAGCCAAGUAGCGUGAAGGAUGACUGCCCUACGGGUUGUAAACUUCUUUUAUAAAGGAAUAAAGUGAGGCACGUGUGCCUUUUUGUAUGUACUUUAUGAAUAAGGAUCGGCUAACUCCGUGCCCGCAGCAGCGGUAAUACGGAGGAUCCGAGCUUUAUCCGGAUUUAUUGGGUUUAAAGGGAGCGUAGAUGGGUUGUUAGGUCCGGUGUGAAAGUUUGCGGCUCAACCGUAAAAUUGAAAUUGAUACUGGCAGCCUUGAGUACAGUUGAGGUAGGCGGAAUUCGUGGUGUAGCGGUGAAAUGCUUAGAGAUCACGAAGAACUCCGAUUGCGAAGGCAGCUUACUAAACUGCCACUGACAUUGAUGCUCGAAAGUGUGGGUAUCAAACAGGAUUAGAUACCCGAGUAGUC